rnacentral:rRNA from 1 species
GGCGCAAGCCUGAUGCAGCCAUGCCGCGUGUAUGAAGAAGGCCUUCGGGUUGUAAAGUACUUUCAGCGGGGAGGAAGGCGAUAAGGUUAAUAACCUUGUCGAUUGACGUUACCCGCAGAAGAAGCACCGGCUUGUUCCGUGCCAGCAGCCGCGGUAAU